UCGGAUUUUUUUCUGUAAUGUGCUGACACCGUGCGCUACCUUAUUUCUUCAGAGGGAACGUGUGCGCACGGCAGGGAGCUCAUUCUGAUUCGUGCACCGCGUGUCACUCGCAGUAACCACUGGCGCCAGUGAAGGUUAUGGCGCAAUGUGAAACACAAUUCCGCCAGUAACACUGAUGAAACUCUGUGCACACGGCCAUAUAUUUGGUCACAUCUACCUGGUCACGUCUGUCCACGAGUAACGCCACGCACUUUCAGAGGCCUGCAGUUGUGCAUGUUAACAUUUUGGAGGUGUGUCUGUGGGUAAAUGAUUCUGUGGGCCAACAUGCACAAGCGCGUGGAUAUGGAGCUGAUUCUUUCUCUGGUCCCUCUGCCUGUGAACACCUGACUGGGCUGAACACUGACAAAAGCCAGAAUUUGGAGUGUUGCUACUUCAAAACUAACCAGA